CGGGCGACCCGCGGGAGGCCGAGCCGGGGCCUGCGCGGUCCCGGGCCCGCGGGAGCCGCUUUCGGGGUCAGGGCGGGGGCUUAGCGAACGCGUGCGGGGUGGGCCUGGAUCCCGGACCCGACCUCGCUGUGACCGGCGCAGAGACACGGGGCGCAGCUGAAAUGAGCUUCACGAAGUUGUCGUUGAGCGCGAUGCCGGCCUUAGCAUCAAAGAUAGACGAAUGGGUAUCGCCAACAAAGUCCGUGGACACGACCUGGCGAUCAGAAUUUCAAAGAUAAGCGUGGGUCGCAGAGCAGGGACCUCCAGGAGCUCAGGCUCGUGGAGCACACUGUCCAUCCAUUCAUCUACAGUAUUUGAUGGAGCCCCACUCUGUCCAGCUUCUGGGGACAGGGUAUGAGGAAGACAGAUGGGGGCUUUUCAGGUAGGGGACUGGCCAAAGGAUACAGACUGCAAACAGCCUCUGAUGCUGCACCAACAGACAUCUCUUCCUGGGAAAAAUGCGCGUGGAAUGUGUCAGCGAGAGGCCCUCCCUGAGGGGAGGCAGUGAGCCUGGCUCUGGAUGAUUAGGAGGAUCUGGUCAACUCCAGCCCUCAGCAGGGUCUCAGGUGGAAGGAAGUGCAGCACAAAGGCCCUGGGGGUUUGGCCCUAGCAUGGUGGAAGGCCACAGGAAGGUUUUCAGCUCUGGGGGUGAUGUGAUCUGAUUUCUUUAAGAGAUCCUGGCAGCUGUGUGAGGGUGGACCUUCAGGAGCUAAAGCGGGGAGACAGCACCAAGGUGGACGGACAGAGCUGGCACUUCUGGGAGCAAAGAGACGCGAUAUCCAUUCCUCACAGGGAAGGCAUCUGGCUGUGGCCUGCCCCGAGCGAGUGUUGAGAAAUGGGAGCCCUUGUCUUGUUCACUAAGCAUGUACUGAGCACCUGCUAUGUGCCAGGCCCUGGGAAGAUGGCUGGAGCUAUGGAAGUGAAAAACGAGGCCCAAAGUCUCUGUUGUCUUGGAGUGUACAUGCUAGCAGGGCCAACAGUGACUAUGAAAUGACAUUUCAGGUAAGGAAAAGGGUCACAAAAAGAACAUUUCUCUGAGAUGAGAGGUUGAAGUAGCGACUUGGAGAAGGUGAGGACAGACUAUGUGGCCACCUGAGGGAAAAGCUUUCCAGACCAAAGGGGCAGCAAGUGCAAAGACUCUGAGGUAAGGGAGAGGUGACCUUCCCAGCCCUGCAGUUCCUAUCUUGAUACGCUGCAAACAACUCCUUGGCAAAUGGAAAAUCACGCUCCCUUCCCAGAGGGCUCUUCCCAGGGUCCCUUCUGCUCAGCCCCUACCUCAUCCUCAGUGUAGGCAAGGAUGCCAGCCAUGGGCCCCUUGGCUGCUGCUUUUAUGGCCUCCUUGAUGUCUGAGUACGGGGUAGGCUGGGCCAGGCGGCAGGUCAGGUCCACAACAGACACGACUGGGGUUGGCACUCGGAACGCCAUUCCCGUCAGCUUCCUGGAGAAUCCCACAUCAGGGGCGGGAGUCAGAACCCAGGGACUUCUCCAUCAUUUCCCCCUUGUCUCUGCUUUCCGCUCAGUAGACACCUCAAGGAUUGGGGGCUAGUCCAGUCCUCCUGGGUUGCACCCCCCACCGUUGUUGCAGCUUCAUGCCCUCAUACCCUUGGAGGUCUGGGAUGACUUUGCCCACGGCCUUGGCAGCCCCCGUGGAGGCCGGGAUGAUGUUCUGGUGGGCACCCCGUCCGUCUCGCCAGGCCUUCUUUGAUGGCCCAUCCACUGUCUUCUGGGUGGCAGUGUAGGAAUGGACUGUGGUCUUGGGGAAGAAGAGGGCCGAGAUGAGGCCUUCUUGCUCCCAAGCUCCCAUGCCUCUUUUUCCCAGGCGCAGGGUGGUGACCCAGGUGUGGAGGCUGGCGGGGCCUCCACCACCGUCACAGGAGGGGCACAUGCAGGCAGGGUCCAGAGUUUAAAAGACUUCACCACUGGUGGGCUUCUCCUCCCCAAACCAGUCUCUCCCUGUUAACUCCACACACUAAGCGAGUAUGGGAGGAAGAGGUACAGUUUCCCAGCCAUGCCUCCUGCCCCAGCCCCCCUCCCCAACUCACCAUCAGCCCUUCCACAAUCCCAAAUCGCUCGUGGAUGACCUUGGCGAGGGGGGCCAGGCAGUUGGUGGUGCAGGAUGCGUUGCUGAAACGGCCCGGGUGUGCAAGGCACUGUGAGGUGAGUCGCAGAGCCACCCCUCCACCCUUACCUCCUUUCAGGGUUUGCGCACAGGCUUGGUUUUGUGAAAAGUCAGGCUGGGGAUGAGGGAGCAUCGGGGAUGCCGUCAGACCGAAGGAGGCACCAGAGGUGCAGCUGGGGGAAGCUCCCCAAGCAUGUUCUCCGGGAGUCGCGCAGUUCUAACGGAUGCUUUUAGGGUAACAUGAACAAGAUGGCUGUUAAGACUUUGGGGAGGAGAAGUGGACUGAUGUGAAAAGAGCACCAGGGGCCAAGUGGGAGUGGGAGUGGGGAGGGUGAGUCGGAUUCCUCCCCACCGCAGGCUGGCUUGUCCUUCAGGCACACGCUUCAGAACGUUGCUGCCCAUUACCUGACAAUUUUCAUGGAGCCGGGGUUGUAGUCCUUUUCGUUCACCCCCAUGACAAACAUGGGUGCAUCUGGAGAGGGCGCACAGAUGACCACACGCAGGGCACCUGCCUCAAGGUGGGCCUAGGGAAGGUGCACAGGUGUCAUGAGGUGCUUCAAGUGCCACACCCCCCGGGCAGCCCUGGGCACCUGUCCCCGACUUACUGUAGUUUCCUCUAAGGACAGGUACACGCCUGUGGCCUCCACCACAAAGGGGUUCCCGACGGACUUCCAGGGGAUUUCUUUGGGCUGCUUGCUGUGGAGGGGCGGUAGCACCGUGAGUCAGUCUCUCGCCUUCAUAGUCCAUGGCCUUCACCAUUUGAAAGGCUGACCAGACACCUUCCUGCCUGGCCGUCUGUUCCCCUCACCCCACACAUCCCUAGCUGCCCCAGAUGGGUCCGACCCUGCUGGUCUUGCCUCUCAUCGCUAACCCCCCUAGUGGGCCACUUUUCUUGACUGUACCUGCUAUGCCUGGGUACAAGCCGCCACCUCCCCAACUCAGGCCUCAAGCCCCGCCUGGGGGACCGUCUAGACUACUCCCAGCCAGGUCAGGCCCUUUCUACAUAUGCGGCCCAGGAUGUAGACCCCAGGAGGGUGAGGCCUGCCCUACUGCUUCUGGCUUCAGUCCUGGCAACCUCAUCACAGCACUCCUAGCCCUUCUUCUCUUGACUACUCAGCUCCUGCAACAGGGAUCCUGCUACCAGAGGCCAGGCAAGUGUCUGAAAACACACAGCACAUCCAGAGAGCAGCUCCCAGGGGGCUGAAGCCUUGAGGCGGCCCUGGGGCUAGCAGUGGCUAGUGGUUUAUAUUGGAAAGGUAAAGGAGAUUUUCUGUUUCUUGUUUUAUCGAUAUACAUUUUCCACUCGAUAUCAAACAUUUGUGUCUGAAACAUAUUAAACAUCUACUAUUGCUGUUUUCUACUUGGCUUUAGCAAACAAACAAUAUAUGGGUAAACUCUAUACUAAUCUUUUCCCUCAGCUUUUAUCACAACUGCGGUAUUUGCUUUUGUGAUUGUUAGUGUCUGUCUCAUCUAGAGCACUCCAUGGCAGCAAGGCUGGGUCUGCUCCCUCCAGAGGGGUUCAGUCAAUGUGUGUGGUUUUUUUUUAUUAGCCAUUCUACACAUGUUUACUGAACACCUGCCAUGUGCCUGUGUGCUGAGUGCUUUACCUGUAUUGAACUCCUUUAACCCUGAUGACCUGAGGUAAGUACUGUUAUUACUGGCAUGUUUCAGAAGAGCCAGGACAGAGGUGAAAAGAGUAGAGGCAGAGCUGCCUGGGAGCACAGGCAGGCCGGCCCUAGGGAUGAAUGAAUGAGCGGCUUCCUCUCUUCUCCCUGGGCCACCACACAUGGUUCUUCUUGCUCCCUGGUCAUCUGUCAGGUCACACUUCAUCAUCUGACCCAAGUAGCUCUUCUCUGAUGCCCCCCUCAUUUCCUGCCUUCCAAGUUGGGGGAAGGGCACUUCAACAAAUUCCUUUGUAGCAGUUGUUGAGCUGGCAUGGGGGGCAGAGAGUUGGUGCCCCUGGAGACCCCAGCCCCUUCCCCUAGGCUGUCAUGGGCCCUGCCUUCCUGCCCAGGGGCUUGUUUUGAGGAUUCUGUUCAUUCUUCAAGGAAGUACUGAGUCCACCCCGGGCCAGGGCCUGUGCCCACGGGUGCCAGAGCAACAGUGGUGCCGCAGGCUGACAGGGCCCUCCUUGCAAGGAGGCUGCGUGAGCCCUUCCCGGCGCUCCCCACACGCCUCUGGCCGUGCUCCCUGCUAUGGCUGUGGUGGGCAUGCUCAGCAUCCCUAUCAGACACGUGAGGAAACAGGCUUUUGGGGAAGUUCAUUGCCUUGCCCAGGGCCACCCGACUGGAAAGGGCGGAGCCGGGCAAAGUACACACCCAAGCAGUGCAGCUCGUGCUGAUGAUGGAGAGCAGUGGGGAAGGGGGAAGAGGUGCUGCAGUCACCAGGGAAGGUGGCACCUGAGCGGGGCACACACUGAGGGGGCGGCUGUGUGGGGACGGGGCAGCGCUGGGAAAAUACCCCGGCUGGCGGCAACGAUGGCGCCCAGGCUGAGGAAGGAAAGGACACAGUAUGUCUGAGUAAUGACUGCUCUGCUGGAAUUUGGAAUUGUUUUUGCUGUCAUGAUUUCAAAUUUGGGUCAAGCAGCUUCUCCCAUUCUCACUGACUCUCCAGUCCCCGCCUCCACCCAUCCCUGACCACCUGACCACAAAUAAACAGCGGGGCUGAGAGUGGACCUGCUGGGAGGAGUGCUGGGAAGGCUGCAGAUCUUGCCUGGGGCUGGAGAGAGCUCACGAGUGUGCGUGUGUGUAAAAUUGGAAAUUGGAGGCAGCCCCAGGGCCGGCAGUGGCUGAUAAUUUACAUUAGAAAGAUAAAGUAGGUUUACUGUUUCCCAUUUUAUAAAUUUUUAAUUUUUUUGGUAUUUUGAAAAUGUAUUUGAAUCUUAUUAAACAUCCAGUGUUACUGCUUUUGA